UUUUUUUAAUUCAUAUAUAUUAAAUUACUAAAAUAUCCUUAUUUUAAAUUAAAAUUAAUUUUUAUUUUUUCUUUUUCAUUCAAAGUUAGGUUUAAAUACAGAUAAGGUAAAAACUCCUACCUUUCCUUUCUUUCUUAUAUGGGUUUGCUACCGGCACCGAAAUCGGAACAGAUUAAAGUGAUCGGCAUCUAACAGGUAAAAAAC
rnacentral:lncRNA from 1 species